CCUUUGUACACACCGCCCGUCGCUACUACCGAUUGAAUGGCUCAGUGAGGCCUUCGGAUCGACUCAGGGAGGUCGGCAACGACCACCCAGAGUUGAAAAGUUGGUCAAACUCGGUCAUUUAGAGG
rnacentral:rRNA from 1 species